rnacentral:lncRNA from 1 species
CAAAAUAGCAUUACUUGAAGUGCCUUUCCCCCUGUAAUCCGACUCCAUCGUCUUUAACGUGUUUGGAAUUGUGUACACAGUUUAUUGUUAUUGGUUUCCUUAGCCUUUUUAGAACCAAGCAACGCCAAUUACCAACAAAAUCCGUUGCGCCGCAGUGAGUUAGCUACCUUCUAUCUCCACUUUGUUCUGCACGUCGAUCUCAGGAGAAGCCAGCUCCCAUGUUAAGAAGUUCAAAUACCUAGAGACUGCGAUGGUUUGCAGAGGCUCAAGCUAACCACAUGGAAAGACAUGGAGAGAUAUUCCUUGCCAACCCUCAACUACUCCAACUAUUCUAAGACAUCAAACCUGUGAGUGAAAAAGCCAUCUCAUACCUUACAACUCUAGCAGAUGCCACAUAGUGUAGAGAUAAGCUCUCUCUGUCAUUCUCUGUCAAAAUUGUAAAAUCAUAAGCAAAUAAAUAAUCACAGUUGCUUCAAGUUACUACAUUUGAGCAUAGUAUUUUAAGCCACUGCAUUUGAGAUGGUUUGUUAUACAGCAAUAGAUAACUAAAAAACAAAGUCCCUUGAUUUAGACUUGUCCACUCAACUUGCUUGGCCAAUGGAAUGGGGUAGAAGUGAUGGUGUGCUUAUUCCCAGCCUGGGCCUUAAAAGGCUUUGCCUAUUUCCACUUGCCUUCUUGUACUUCUGCUAUUGUCAUAAGAAAAACAAACCGCAGGUCACCCACCGGUCUGAAGAGGAGGAUGAGAGACAAAGAAAAAAGUUGUCUGGCUGCCUCUGCUGUCUACAGAUUGAAGAAGAUCCAUCCAGCUGAGCCCAGCCUAGACCAGCUGACUUCUCCAAUAAGCCUGUAUGAAAUAAAUGCUUAUUGUUAUGUG